rnacentral:rRNA from 1 species
CGGUGGUAAUACUCGAUGUUCUCAAGAUUCUUCAUGGGGUUUUGAGCAAAGACGGGGACCGUAAGGCCUGUCGUUUAAGGAUGAGCUUGCGUACCAUCAGCUAGUUGGUAGGGUAACGGCCUACCAAGGCUAAGACGGUUAGCUGGACUGAGAGGUUGACCAGCCACACUGGGACUGAGACACUGCCCAGACUCCUACGGGAGGCUGCAGUCGAGAAUAUUUAGCAAUGGACGAAAGUCUGACUAUGCGACGCCGCGUGCAGGAUGAAAGUCUUCGGAUUGUAAACUGCUUUUGUUAGGGGAGAAACCUGUAUUGUUAACAGCAAUACAGCUGACGGUACCUGACGAAUAAGCCACGGCUAACUCCGUGCCAGCAGCCGCGGUAAUACGGGGGUGGCAAGCGUUGUCCGGAUUUACUAGGCGUAAAGGGCAGGUAGGCGGAUUGAUAAGUUAAUCGUUAAAGGCCCAUGCUUACCAUGGGUAAGGCGGUUGAUACUGUCAGUCUGGAAGUGAGUGGGGGAAGACGGAAUUCCUGGUGUAGCGGUGGAAUGCGCAGAUAUCAGGAGGAACACCGAAGGCGAAGGCAGUCUUCUACGCUUUGCUUGACGCUAAACUGCGAAGGUGCGGGUAUCAAACAGGAUUAGAUACCCUGGUAGUCCGCACAGUAAACGAUAAUCACUAGGUGUCGGUGGGAUAGACCUGUCGGUGCCGUAGCUAACGCGAU